GGCUUGGUGGUGGAUGGUCCACACCUGCCUACUCUGAGCUAGCAUGGAGAUUGCAAGCAGGAGAAGUCUGUUCGAAUCAGGCCUGAGCCA